UCAUCGGUGGUUCAGUGGUAGAAUGCUCGCUUGCCACGCGGGCGGCCCGGGUUCGAUUCCCAGCCAAUGCA
rnacentral:tRNA from 1 species